CCCAACUUGCGUCUAUUGCCCUUGCCAACAUCACCUGCUGUAACCCUGCCAUCUAUUGAACACAGGCCCAGAGGUCGUCGUUUAUUUUCUGUAGUAGUAGAUGACUUUACUCAGUUGUCUAAACAGUACAUUCGAAAUAAUAUGGCUACGAGCAACAAACUGUGCUACACAUCUGAACAGAUUCUUCCUGUAGCGCCAUUACUGACGGCAAAACAAUUGUUAGAGUUGCCUGGAAGGAGAAGUUUGACAAUGAGCAAGAAACUGAUGGCUUUAUGGAAAAGCAAAGCGGUUCCAAAUGUGUCAGCUAAAAGCAUUGUAAGUUAUCAAACAGUAAGACGAGACAAAGAAACAUCUAGUGCAACAGAGUCUCUGUCUUCACAGGUAAGUGUCCUCACCAUAAUUUAAUGAUUUUCAAUGCAUGU